UUUCAACACACCACUCAGAACAGGGCAAAAUUUAAAGCUUAUGAAUUGCUUAUUUCUGGAGUUUUUCAUUUAAUAUUUUCAGACCACAGUUGACCGCAGGCAAGUGAAACCGUGGAAAGUGAAACUGUAGAUAAGGGGCACUCCUGUAUAGCAAAGACUUGUAGGCGUGAUUAAUUUAAGGAUCUUGAGAUGGGGAGAUUAUCCUGGAUUACUCCAGUGUCAUCACAAGAGUCCUUAUAAGAGGGAUGUGAGAGGGUCAGAGUCAGAAGACGAUGAUGUGAUGAUGGGAGCAGGAAGAGAAAAGGUGAUGCGGUGGGGGACCAUGAGCUAAGAAAUGGGGCAGCGUCUGGAAGCUGAAAAAGACAAGGAAUGAAUUCUCUUCUGGAGCCUCUAGAAGGAAACAGCCCUGCUGACACCCUGGUUUUGGCCCAAUGAGCUCCAUUUCAGACUUCUGACCCCCAGAACGAUUUUCGAAAUCUUUUCAUAUCUGGCUCCGUAGAAGACAGCUGGAUUCGCAUAGCUGCCCCUGCAUUCUAUCUGUUGUGAUAUGCUGUUUUGGUUGAAGUGUGUGAAGAAAAUUCCACCUCACACAGAUAUGAAGCUGGUCGUGCCUGCUCCUGCAUUGCUGACCCAAAAGUGAACUUGGACUCCAAGUGGGCGCUCAGCAAACGUGUGUGGGACAAGACAGGACAUUCCCUGUACAGUACCCCGUAUGCUCGGGCCACAGAGCCAGCAUUGAAACUCCUGGGCAUUCAAGUCUGCCACGUUCCACCCAGCGGGAAAAAUUCAGAGCUGACAUUAAUUCAGGCCCCACAUACAUGAUUCUUACUGAGUAAGACAUCAAGACAAUCUCGCCCUUUGUCGGAACUGUGGGAGUCUGACUUACGCGUCGAGAGAAGCCAGUCUAAAAUCAGUCGCUUUUUGAAACCAUCGGCUUAAGAAAUUAAGGAUUCUGUCAGCGUGCCCUGAAUUCUGGGCCCAGCAAUUAAUUCCUCCUAGAUUAAAGGAUUGUUGUGUUUCUGAUACAUUAUUAUGCGGAGUGGGCUUGCUGUGAAUUUUAAAACUUUAACCAGAAUCCUCAUUAACUGGGAUCUUUUAUCUGUGUGCAACUCGUAGAAGAGGCCAGUGGCUAGAAAGUGAGCUGAUGCAUCCAAAAGAAACAGCAUUCCAGAGGGCGUCCUAAUGCACAUUCGUCCAGGCAGCUGUCCUCCUCCUGAUGGUAACAGGGCCAUUUACUCAUAACACGCCAGGCUCAGGCUGGACAUUGGACAUCACCCUGCUGAAUCCUCGCCCGCCCUAUCAGGUGGCCACAGUUAUUAUUAUCUCCAGUUUACAGGCGAGGGGACUGCGGCUGGUGAAGGGAGGUGAAGAGCCCUGCUCAGGCCAGUGGGUGGCCCAGGUCUAUGCGACCUCCUGGCCCCAUGCUUGACCCCACCUUACCCUGCACCCCCUUCUCCCUGGACAACAAUAAAGAUCGC
rnacentral:lncRNA from 1 species